rfam:Zea mays cultivar B73 chromosome 6, whole genome shotgun sequence.
AUUCCAAUGAGGAUCUCAAGACCUACAACUAGGGAAUUUUAUUUGACAAUGUAAGUAACAACUGGUUCUUUUAGUUGUAGGUGUCCAUCGUGCGACCACAACCUCUGGUUUGGUCUGGGAUGGAGCACUCAUCUGUAGUUGAUGGAUUCAACUAUGAUGUGUGAUUUCAAUUGGGUCUUUGAGUUGU